rnacentral:lncRNA from 1 species
CUUCGUAAGGAUAUAUCCACUGUAUGUUGUGAUGCACAAGGUAGGACAAGCAAUGCUAACACCUAAAAACUUACAUGAUGGCUCUUAGUCAAAGGAGUUUUAUGCUAAAAGGUUUGAGGUUCAUCAGUUACAAACAGCAUCCCCUUACAGAAUCUCCAUGGUUGAUCAUCUGGUGUCCCAGAGCUCUCGACUUCUUCUAUUGUUUCUCUCGCUUUGAGUGGGUGGAGUCGUCCUUCAAAAUAUCUUGCACAGCACAAGUUUUGCUGCCUGUCAGAAGAAAGACAAUGCCAUUAAUUAUGAGAAUAUAGCACAACUUUGAAGGUAAGUUCGAGUCAAAGGAAAAGGCAGAAGUACAAAAACAUUUUCUUAUGGGAAUUUAGAUAUAAGGGAACUAAUUUGACAUAGAAAAAGAAACAUCAAGUCAUGGAAGAGGAUAAGCAUAUGUUUAAUUUGAUCAUCCACUGCAGUUGCUGCAUCAAAUGUGGGAUUUACGCUGUAUCUUUGCAUGCACAGUCAGUUCUUUUCCCUCAAGUUGCGUUCCACAAUAGUAUAUGAACUCUUUUUUGCGGCCUUCCACCAUGCCACGAACAUGGAUUCCCAGUUUUGAUUUAGGGCCUCAGUAAGCAUCUCCAUUAAACAGAUUACAGUUUGUUGGCUUCAUGGUGUUAAAAAACCAUCUUUUCACAUUACCAUAACUAAUAAUAUCCGCACAAAUAAAAGAAAAAAGUCGCAAAAAUAAAAACAAACACCCGUGCAGCAGAUGAAUGACAAAGUGCAUAAACUUUCACUGAUAAAAGAAUAUCUAUGAUUAGUCAAACAUGUUCUACCCAAUUUGCUUCAAUUUCUCUUUUUAGUAACAAGUAAUUUGUUAUUGGUUUUAGAAUAAGAAAAGCCAAAUUAUGCAGCACAUUGACAAAUAGAGUUUAGGAACUGCCAGAGUUACAAAGUUGGUGCUCACUCCACCUACGUGAUCCCUUUCAAAUGGUAAAUUAUCAAGAAAACUCAAUGGCCAAGAAAAUAUGAAACAUGUAAGAUAAUUGUGAAGUUGAGCAAGAUGCUCCAUAAGCUAAUUAUGAUAGUCCAAAGAUCUCUUAAUUCUUUUCUUUUUACAAAGUAGCAUGUACUAUGUUUCUUCCCUUUCUCACGUUGCAGCAAUUGAUCAAAAAGGGAAGCAGAAAGUGAUAUUAUAAGAACUACACAAAGCAUCAUCUUGCCACCUUUCUGGAGACUGAUCAGACUGUCUUUUACAAAUGGCUUAAAAAGGGCUUUUCAAGUUUUUCUUACUUUUUAUUCCUCAAUCGCAGCUCAAGCAUAUUUCCUGCAGAGCUACGGUCCUAGCAGAAAAUCAUUCCCUUCCCGGAGUGCAACAAGAAUCACAUGCUGAAGCUUGAUUAACAAAGAAAGAUAAACAGCAGGAAAAACCCUGAAGAUGAAAUGUAGUUAAUGAAGAAAAUGCAUAAAAUAAGGCAAAGAAGAAAUCUUCAAGACAAAAUUAGAUUAGAUGUUACAUAAAAAUUGAUCUCUAAUACUUGUUGGAGCUAUUAUGGGCUCUAGUUGAGUCCACUAAAUUUAAGGAAGACUAAAAUCCAGGACAAAUUUGAAAGAUUUGGAGAUUGGUUACCAUGUAUGAUCUAGAACAUUUCCGCUGGUAAGAAGUUUCAACAAACAAAGAUACUGUUCAUGCUUCAUAGCUGUUAUUAGGUUUCUAAAAAUGUGACCUAGGAGUCAAUGCACCGGGAGUGAAACAAAGGAGAACAUAGAAAUUAAGUAAAUAAGAAAAACAUUUACAACAGAGUGAUGUUUCAGAUAAAGAAUUUGAGUGGCAUUUGUAUCUCCAACCUUACCAAGAGGAAAAGAGAUGUGAAGACUAGUGUUUUAAACUUCUCCAACCUCAAGCUAUCUUUGAGCUCUGACGUUGUAAAGCUAUGUGUUCUGUAACCCUGUGCCAGGAGAAAAGAAGCUUAAAAGGAAAAUGCCAAUGUUUUUUCUUUUACCAACUAGAAAUAAGUGACUGGGAAAUAUACUAGACUAAGAUCUCAUUUGGUGUAAGAAAGAUUCUUAGACUUCCCAAUUACCAAUCAGAUAAUCUGCAUUCUUGCAGAACAUAAUAAGUCUCUCCAAUUUUUUGACCCUAAUUUUUAUACAAUCCUAAUCCAGCAAACCCUUCACAAAGACAUAUAGAUAGUUCUACCUAUCCCCCAAAAAGACGGAAAAAAACCAUAUAGACUGCCUAAAGAAAUGCAAGAGAUAGAAACAGUAAAAUAAUCAGACCACAAAAUAUAGAUUGUUACCUAACUGGCAAUGAUCUGAUAUACAUGCCCACCCAUACACUUCUGAACUGAUCUAUCAGAUUCAACAGCCGAAUACCAUUCGAUCUUGACAGUAAAUAUCCUCUCAACAUUCUUAUAGACUUUUAACCUUACUUUCAGGGUUUUUAAAUUAGGCUUAGAAUUCCUUUCUUGCUCCAUCUUGUCAAGUACUUAUCCUAAAGAAAAGGGAUUCAAGAGCACAAAUUUAAUCAUUUCGUAUUGGAUUUAUAUGACCAGGAUUCUUAUACACAGCUAGGAGGCAAUCAUAAACGUAUAAUUAAGCCAAAAAUAGUUGAUUUAUAUCAACAGGCAUGCCAAAGAAAAAACAUCAAGAAUCAAAAUAAUUCACUUAAAUCACAUAUUGCUCGUAAAAAACAUUAUAAGCUAUCAACCAAGUUCUCAAGAUAUGAGAUCCCUCUAAAAUAAAGGACAUGCAACUCAAUAAUCAGAAUUAAAAUCCCAGAAAAUGAGUAAAACCCCCCAAACAAGAACUGCAUGUUAAUUUACGGAUACAAAAAUGGGAAAAAGUUCAUAUUACCAAAUGCGAGUAGAUCAGGGUCAAUUCCAAAUAACAUUAGCUGUGGGAAUGAGGUCCUGAAAACAUUCAUGUCGACUCAGGAUUUUAUUCGUCAAGAAACCAAGCAGUUCAGCAUCAGUAGGGUCAAAGUCGACCCCAAAAUCAGCUAAGUUCCCAUUGCCACCAUCAUUACCUCCUGCUGGUGCUGGCCAUUACUUUUUGUGAGUUUUCUGAGUUGAAGAAGAAGAAAUUAAAAGUGAGUUUUCUGUCGAGGUAG